GGGCGCUUGGUCUAGGGGUAUGAUUGUAAUUACAAGUUCCGUCCAUAUGCGUAGUGAAUAUAUGUCUAAUCAGUAGUAGUUCGCUUCGCAUUAUACAUUAAUGACUCUGUGAAAGGUCGUGGGUUCAAUUCCCACAGUGUCCA